rnacentral:rRNA from 1 species
GAUGAACGCUAGCGGCAGGCUUAAUACAUGCAAGUCGAGGGACAGCACAGGUAGCAAUACUGGGUGGUAACCGGCAAACGGGUGCGGAACACGUACACAACCUUCCUUUAAGUGGGGGAUAGCCCAGAGAAAUUUGGAUUAAUACCCCGUAAUAUAGUUGAAUGGCAUCAUUUGAUUAUUAUAGCUACGGCGCUUAAUGAUGGGUGUGCGGCUGAUUAGUGAGUUGGCGGGGUAACGGCUCACCAAGUCUACGAGCAGUAGCUGAUGUGAGAGUAUGAUCAGCCACACGGGCACUGAGACACGGGCCCGACUCCUACGGGAGGCAGCAGUAAGGAAUAUUGGUCAAUGGACGCAAGUCUGAACCAGCCAUGCCGCGUGAAGGAUUAAGGUCCUCUGGAUUGUAAACUUCUUUUAUUUGGGACGAAAAAGGGCCUUUCUAGGUCAACUGACGGUACCAGAUGAAUAAGCACCGGCUAACUCCGUGCCAGCCGCCGCAGUAACAC